GUGGGGAAUCUUGCGCAAUGCGCGAAAGCGUGACGCAGCAACGCCGCGUGGGGGAAGAAGGCCUUCGGGUUGUAAACCCCUUUCAGGAGGGACGAAGGUCGGGCGGUUAAUAGCCGACCCGACUGACGGUACCUCCACAAGAAGCCCCGGCUAACUACGUGCCAGCAGCCGCGGUAAUACGUAGGGGGCAAGCGUUGUCCGGAAUUAUUGGGCGUAAAGAGCGUGUAGGCGGUCCGGUAAGUCGGCUGUGAAAGUCCAGGGCUCAACCCUGGGAUGCCGGUCGAUACUGCCGGACUAGAGUUCGGAAGAGGCGAGUGGAAUUCCCGGUGUAGCGGUGAAAUGCGCAGAUAUCGGGAGGAACACCUAUGGCGAAGGCAGCUCGCUGGGACGUUACUGACGCUGAGACGCGAAAGCGUGGGGAGCAAACAGGAUUAGAAACCCUGGUAGUCC
rnacentral:rRNA from 1 species